rnacentral:lncRNA from 1 species
AACUGUGAAAGCAACAGCCAUGGACAAGGACCUGCACACAGUGGUGUCUGUCUGACUCAUCACAUAAUCCUCUGAUAAGAAAAUAUUUCUUCUAGAGAUAAGAUCAAGAACUCGACAUACAAGUGGCACCACUGAUUCCUCACCACUAACUCCCUAUAAAUAAACCACCUUUCUUUCAUUUUGUGAUCUCAUCAACUUGAGUACUCGACGAACACGACGACGACGACGCAUUCCAAACUCUUGGAGACAACCAAGAACUGGACAGAGGAGGAAAGGUUGGAGAAAGAUGGCUUCUUUUGCAUCGACGGCUGCGGCAACGGUGGCGCCUGGGGGAUGCGUC